AGCCGCGGGGGAGGGCAGAGGGGAGGACUUUUGCAAUUUCCCGUCUAGCUGCGCACUCUUGGCACUCCUGGGACUCGCAGGAAUUCGCCUCCUUUUGGUCCCCGGAGGAAGCAGAUGGGACCCUGCGGGGGACGGCCGAGCCCCUGCGGAGUGAUAUGGUAGAUUAUGGAAAACCAUAUCGACUUUGGAGCCGAUGUGGAGAGCAUCCUGGUACUGCCGCUUCUGUGGCAGCGUCGGACCCAGAGAGGAGAGCAGUGGGGCCGCAGCGUGUGUAGGACUCGCAAGGAUGCCCGAUGGCGCUGCAGGCUUGUUCAUGGGGUCAGCUAAGCCAGGAAGAGGAAAAUUUGGGCUUGGGCACAGACACCCAAGAGGAACGCCACGUGACUACUGAGGCAGAGAUUGGAGUUACUCUCCCUCAAACCGAGGGAUAGCAAGGAUUGCUGGCAACCUGAGGAAGCUAAGAGAAUGGUACAGAACAGAUUCUCUCUCCGAACCCCUAAGAAGAAACUCAUCCUGCCAGCACCUUGACUUCAGAUUUCUGGGCUCCAGAGCUGUGAGAGAAUAGAUUUCUGUUGUUAUAAGCCGCUAGGUUUGUGGGAAUUUCUUAGAGCAGCCCCAGCAAACUGAUACAUAGUAUGUGGUAACCAAACUGAUGGCGUCUGAAGGAAGUGGGAGUCUUCUGAAGAAAGUGGCUUUGUCAAGUGUUGACUGCCCUCCAGAAUCUUCCUGCUAUUUGUCAUUCUCCACUGCUUUUAAAGACUUUUAAGUGUUUUUUAAAAAAAUAUUUUUUCUGGUGUUUUAUAUUAUUAUAUGUAGGAGGAGCAGUUCAAUAAGAGCCAUUCAGCUGUGACUGGAAGUGGCACUCCCUACCGUUAUAUUUUGAAAUGCUAAGUGACUAAGUUAUUGGAGGAAAAUAGUAUGAACUCCUUCCUUUGCUCGAUUAGAUUUCUCUCCAAUAAAAUAUUCUUCUGAAACAAUCCAGUUUUUCAAAAGAUUGAAAUAUAUUUACUUUAGACUUCAAUCUAGAAAUUGAUGAAAAUCUGCUGAAAUCAUGUAAAGUUUCUAUUAUCUUAAAUAUCACUUUAGAAUGAAGAUUUAUAAGAUUAAUGCCACUAUAAUACAAAUGAAAGACUUUUAAGCAAAAAAGAGUAGUCGUCAAACUUGUCCUUGAAUUUCCUCUGAACUUUAUCCAGAUGUCAAGAACAAAAUUUAUUUGUGGGAGCUACAGAAAGCUAAGUUUUUAUCCUUGUGAUUCUAUUUGUGCUUAAAUUAAUUUUAUCUACAUUGAAAUGAAAACUUCCUGAAGGCAUUCACUUCUAUAUUCAAUCUUGUCAGCUUCUUAAAUGUAGCCUCUUUCAUCCAGUUCUUACACAACAGCAAUUAUUUCAUCCAUUAUCAAAUAUUAUCAGAUGAUACUUAGUCACUUUGAAAUAACGCUCAGGUAGUUUCCACGCUAUCAAGGCAUUUUGGGGGGAACAUGCCGAGGAGAAAUGUUCAUUCAAAUUCAACACAAAAUCACCAAGCUAAACUAGAAUAAAAUGAAACACCCAAGAAGGAGAGAAAUGUUAUUACAUCAGUGUUAUUAGAUCUUGUAGCAAAAAUAAUCAUAAGAACUUGUCUUCCUAGAAAUUUUUGGAAAUGAUGCCUAAAGAUGAAGGUGUAAAUGUUUUGAAAAAGGAUGGCAAUAGACAAUUUCUUUUGAAAAUCCCCCCGUUCUUAGCAAGAAGAAAAAAAUAUUCACUUGAUUGGAAAUUUCGGCUUACAAACAUUCAUAGUGGCAGAAUUAUAAUAGACACACAUACACAUCACACACACACACACACACACACACACACAGACACUCAUUAGAAAAACAUUGUGGGGGAAAUGGAGAGAUGGUAGGAAGAAAAAGAACAUUGUAAUAGCAACAAACUAGUAACAACCUGAAGAUUUUCGAAUAAAAGACUGAAAACUCUUUAUGAUUCAUCCUUUCAAAAGAAGGAAAAUUAUCUGUAUAUGCAGCUAUGGAAUAUGUCCAAGAUAUACAAUUGAGUGAAAAAAGCAAGAGUCGGAAAUGUGUAUUUGGUAUGUCCAUACAUCUAUUUAAUUUGUUAAUUUUUAUGGGGUAUAUACAUAAGCAUGUUUUGAGUACGAUUACAAGAAAUUGCUAACUGCUUGUCCUCGGGGAGAAAGUCUAAGAAUGCAAGUGGUGUGUAAGGGGCACUUGUACUUUUCAUUUUAGACAUGUUUGUGCAGAUUAGUUUUUCGUCAUGUGUUUUUAUUUUUAAAAAAUAGUAAUCUCA